rnacentral:lncRNA from 1 species
AGCUAGCUGGGAUCUGUUCGUUCGUGUUCGCUCAUUUACUAUAUUAUCGGGUGUCAACUGGCCGAACUUGUACGAGCUGGGACCGGUUCGUGUUCGCUCAUUUUAUUAAACACGCCGAAUACGAGUUCGCUCGUUAAACUAUCAAGCAGUAGAUUAAAUUAUUAUUAUUAUUUUUUUUGAGAGAUAGAUAAUACGCUAUCCGUUUCGUUUAUUUUAUUUAGAAAUAAAUUUAGCUGGAAAUGUGAAUCAACUAAGAUUCGAACUUGGAAUUUCGGGUACCAACCACUAAGCCCUUUGUUACUUGCUCUAGGGACAGUCGGUCAGUAGAUUAGAUUGUUAGUUAUGCUACUAGAUGAAAAAUUGAAGGAAAAUUAGAAUUUAAUUUAACAAUUGAAAUACACAAAAUAUAAGUCUUCUUACAUUUGGAUUGACCUAAAAUCAAAAUAGUAAAAAUUUAUAAUAUAUAUUCAAGUAAUAUCGAGCUGAACACAAGGUGGCUCCUGAACAGGGAGUUGAAUUGCCAGCCCUACUCCAGACAAC